rnacentral:rRNA from 1 species
AUUGAACGCUGGCGGCAUGCUUUACACAUGCAAGUCGAACGGUAACAGGCCGCAAGGUGCUGACGAGUGGCGGACGGGUGAGUAAUGCAUCGGAACGUGCCCAGUCGUGGGGGAUAACUACUCGAAAGAGUAGCUAAUACCGCAUACGAUCUAUGGAUGAAAGCGGGGGACCGUAGGGCCUCGCGCGAUUGGAGCGGCCGAUGUCAGAUUAGGUAGUUGGUGGGGUAAAGGCGCACCAAGCCAACGAUCUGUAGCUGGUCUGAGAGGACGACCAGCCACACUGGGACUGAGACACGGCCCAGACUCCUACGGGAGGCAGCAGUGGGGAAUUUUGGACAAUGGGCGCAAGCCUGAUCCAGCAAUGCCGCGUGCAGGAAGAAGGCCUUCGGGUUGUAAACUGCUUUUGUACGGAACGAAACGGCUCUGGUUAAUACCCGGGGCUAAUGACGGUACCGUAAGAAUAAGCACCGGCUAACUACGUG